rnacentral:sRNA from 1 species
CCCCUUAUGUCUUGGGCUACACACGUGCUACAAUGGUCGGUACAAAAAGUUGCGAUCUCGUAAGAGGGAGCUAAUCUGAAAAAGCCGAUCUCAGUUCGGAUUGAGGGCUGCAACUCGCCCUCAUGAAGCCGGAAUCGCUAGUAAUCGCGAAUCAGCAAUGUCGCGGUGAAUACGUUCUCGGGUCUUGUACACACCGCCCGUCACACCAUGAGAGUUGAUAAUACCAGAAGUCGGUAUUCUAACCGCAAGGAGGAAGCCGCCCAAGGUAGGAUUGAUGAUUAGGGUGAAGUCGUAACAAGGUAUCCGUACGAGAACGUGCGGAUGGAUCACCUCCUUUCUAUGGAGUUAAUACUUUAUAGUAAUUAACUAGUUUUAAUGACCGUUAUGUUUAGUUUUCAGAGAUUAGUUUCUCUGACAAUAACAAGUAAAUGUUAUUGGAAUUGUUCUUUGAAAACUGGAUAAUAGACAUCUAGUUAUUUUAAUCACAUGAUUAAAAUAACAAUAAUUCAAAAUUUCUGUUAUUUUUAAAAAAUAACUAAAAUUUCACAGUUAUAUUUGUAAAUGAUUCUCAAAAGACUGAUUUAAAAUCAGGUCAAAUAAUUUAUAAAACUUUGAAGUUACAAAGGGCGUAUGGUGAAUGCCUUGGGAAUAGGAGACGAUGAAGGACGUGACUACCUGCGAUAAGGUUCGGGGAGCUGGAAGUAAGCUUUGAUCCGGACAUGUCCGAAUGGGGAAACCCGGUGAGAUUAAUCUCUCAUCAUCCUAUAAUGAAUAAAUAGUUAUAGUGAAGGUAUACCUAGGGAAUUGAAACAUCUUAGUACCUAGAGGAAAAGAAAGCGAAUGCGAUUCUCUUAGUAGCGGCGAGCGAACGGGGAACAGCCCAAACCAGAUUUAUCUGGGGUUGUAGGACCAUAAUAGUAGAGUUACAAAACUUGUUUAUAGUAGAAAUGGUUGGGAAACCAUGCCGUAGAGGGUGAUAGCCCCGUAUACGGAAUAGACAAGACUCGAAAUGGAAUCCUGAGUACGGCGAGACACGUGAAAUCUUGUCGGAAUCAACGCGGACCACCGCGUAAGGCUAAAUACUACCUAUUCACCGAUAGUGAACCAGUACCGUGAGGGAAAGGUGAAAAGCACCCCGGGAGGGGAGUGAAAUAGUACCUGAAACCAUAUGCCUACAAGAAGUCGGAGCCCGUUAAUGGGUGACGGCGUGCCUUUUGUAGAAUGAGCCGGCGAGUUAUGAUAGCAUGCAAGGUUAAGUAGAAAAUACGGAGCCGUAGUGAAAGCGAGCCUUAAUAGGGCGUUUAGUAUGUUGUCAUAGACCCGAAACCAGGUGAUCUAGCCAUGAGCAGGUUGAAGUUGAGGUAAAACUUAAUGGAGGACCGAACCGACGUUCGUUGAAAAGACCGCGGAUGACUUGUGGCUAGGGGUGAAAUUCCAAUCGAACCUGGAGAUAG